AUAAUAUUACUUAUGAGAAAUAUUUUCACAGAUGGGGUAUGAAAAUUCCUACUGAUCUCAGUACCUAAAGUUAUCUAAAAAUACACGGUGUGUUCCUUUUAACUUCCCAUUGUAGGCUUUCUCCAUCACUGCAACAGCAAGUGCUCUGACAGCAGUGGCUUUACAGAAGAACCCUUGCUCCAAGGCACUCCAAGCCUCUGCACUCAGUAGGAGAAAGGCAGCAUGGCACAUCGGAAAGAAGACUGGGCUGACAGAUUCUGGAGGAUUGAAAUCGUCAGAAUCUUUUGCCAGAUGUUCUAUCAUUAACUCAAGAGCAGAGGACAAAGACUUCUCCUGCUCCUGUUGCCUCAGCUGUCCCUGGGGUCUGCCUCAGCUCUACCUCCCCUCAGCUCUAUCUCUGAAGUAUAGCCACCAAGAAGGACUGUACUGAAUGCAGUGGGUUCAUUUCUUGGUAAGUGCAAAGCCAAUAUAUACAACUAGGAGAUAAAAAGUUAAAGAGAGAUUUAUUACUUGUAGCAAGUAAAGAGCAGACUGGAGAUAAUUCUCAAAGCAGCAUCUCCUCAGACAAAGAAAGCAAGGGGCUUUUACUGAGGAAACUCACACACAUUCAUGUAGGAAAGAUCAUCAUCAUAUCAAAAAGCUAGCACAUUCCUGUAUGAAUAGGCACGUUCCUGAGUAUGCUCAGUUCAGGAUUAUGCUUCACAUGUUCACAAACAGGAAUUCCUAGUAGGUAAAGAAUUUAGUAUUUUAAUGAGCAAAAUUUACUCUAGAUCACCUAAAAAGAGUGAGUCAGAGAGACCUGUAGAUUUUGGCUGGUUCUUUAUAAGUUUCUCUGGAAGGCUGUAUUUAAAACAAAUAAAACACAACUUCAAAGAGAUGUUAACAGUCAUUUAAAGAGGCGCAGAUUUUUACCCUAAAAGCAUAGGUAAUUUUUCCUAAAGACAUCUGCCUGGCUAACAGGACCAGAAUCCUGUGUCAGACACCUCAGCCUCAGAUUGUUCCUACAUGUUGGGUUGAGUGGUCAGAGCUCUUGGGAGCACAUUGUCUCCAUGCCAAUCCACAGUUCCCACCUCUCAGCAGUGUUGAUGUCUAUGAACAGAGCUGGGUGAUUGGCAGAGCACUGCUUUGGUUAGGAAAAACAGAUUACACAUGAUUCAGUGGCUCCUUACUUGGAGCACAGCCUCUGCAGUAAGCAAGGUGCUCCCAGGUCCAGUCUACUUACUUGAAGGAAGCUAUGGAAGCGAAGGCAUUGCCACUACCCUAUGUUUUCUAAAGUAAAUACUCUGCAUAAAGAGGAGUGAGAGCCCUAGAAUCAAGAAGUUUGUCAACUUUUGUCAAGUUGAGGGGAAUGUUAUCUCAUUCAAAAUAAUAAUAUUUUGUAACAUUGCUAUAAUCAUUGAAUGUAUUAUUUAUUUAUUCUAUGUAGAAAGCAGA
rnacentral:lncRNA from 1 species